rnacentral:rRNA from 1 species
UACGGGGGGGGCAAGCGUUGUUCGGAAUUACUGGGCGUAAAGGGCUCGUAGGCGGCCAACUAAGUCAGACGUGAAAUCCCUCGGCUUAACCGGGGAACUGCGUCUGAUACUGGAUGGCUUGAGAUUGGGAGAGGGAUGCGGAAUUCCAGGUGUAGCGGUGAAAUGCGUAGAUAUCUGGAGGAACACCGGUGGCGAAGGCGGCAUCCUGGACCGCUCCUGACGCUGAGACGCGAAGGCCAGGGUAGCGAACGGGG